CGAAGACUCAAACAGGUUGAAAAGAAAGAAAAAUGAAACGGACCAUCUGGCACACCUGGCCAGAUGUGGUGGAACUGCUGCUUUUCCCGCCUCUGCUCCUUUAAAGGAGGAUUUUUAACCUUAUUCCCACCCUGAGGAAGGAGGCACCGCUCCAGUGCUGAGAGGGGCAGCUGAAGGAUCCCUCAACACUUAUAAAAUGGCAUCAAAACUAGCAGAAUAUGGAGAUCAAGAAGAUCUGAAUGGGACGCGUUGGUAUUUUACAUCAGGUAAACAAGCAGACACACACACACACACACACACACACACACACCCACACCCACACACACCCACACCCACACCCACACCCACACACACACACACACACACACACACACACACCCACGCACACACACACACACACACACACACACACACACACACCUGUCUCUAACACGGAGGCAUUUGAUCCAUCAGACCAAAUCAAUAGGUGAAUAUUCUGCGCUCUCCCUCUUUCCCAUUAAUCUGCCUCCAGAUUAAAAUGUCAGCCAGCGCGGCCGACCGGAGGCCGCCGCCGAGCUCUUCCUCACGCAGCGCCGCGCUCCAGACGGGAACCGUGCGUGCUGAUCAAUCACGCGUCCGUGCGCGCUCCUCAUCCUUCAGGGCAGAGACAACAGGUUAGGGCAACCUGUCGACUCCAGCGGAAAAAUGGCGCCGCGGUAACGGGCGCGGCGGUGAGAGAUGAGAGGUGCAAGAGCUGGAAACCAGUCUUGUUUCAGAGGAGCUCAUCUUCAGUCCUCCCAGACGGAGCUGCGGCGCGAUUGGCUCCCUUUUGGGGGGGAAUUCCUCAUUGGGGUUCGGGAAGAACUGAUGUGAUUCCGUGAUGGAGUUCACCUGAGCCGAGGUGUCGUUCUUCUGCGGAGGUGAUUCACUCAGAGCUUCUUUAUUAACUCUGCUGUGAGGGUGGAAGCAGAGAGGUUUGAGACUAACCAGGCUCAGCUUCUCCUGCCAAGCAACUGCCACAGCACCCGAUAAAAAGAGGACCUUGAAAGGAGGAAGUCCACCUGUGCCUGCUGAGGUUGGUGCUCAGGCGCUUCACCGCCCGUUUCCCUGCCCGGGGGCGGUUCUGUGGUGUCACUCAGGCGGAGACGCUGAUGGUUCCUCAAAGAUCUCGGCAGUGGAGUCAAAACAAGGUGACUGUUUUGUACCGAUUCAAUGGACGGAUGUCCGUCAAAGGAGGCCGGUCCCGAACCCUGAACCCGCCAGCGCUGAAUGCUCGGUGAGAACUCAAAGGGCGUCUUGUGUGUUUUGCAAAUCCGGCGCCGUCACGCGCCGAUCGGACGCUCCGUCUGUCAGGCUUGGCGUGUUUUCCCAGCUGCGGUCCACAAAGUGAAGGUCGGAGGCGGAGAGGGAUCCCACCUGUGAGAGGGAGCGAGCCAACAAUGGAGGUUUCACACCCUGUGAUGAGCUCCAGUCUGGAUGUGCACAGGCAUGAGCACGGGAAACGAUCCUGGAAAUACCCAGAAGCCUCAGCGCUCUCAAAGAUUGCUGCAGGUUGCGUCAGUGUUCCGGGUCGGAUUGUAUUCAGCUGCCUUUUUAUCUGCAGUUUUUCUGCGGGACAGUUAAAGUGGCUCAGAAGAUGAUGUCA
rnacentral:lncRNA from 1 species